rnacentral:rRNA from 1 species
UACGUAGGGUGCAGGCGUUAAUCGGAAUUACUGGGCGUAAAGCGUGCGCAGGCGGUUUGCUAAGACAGGUGUGAAAUCCCCGGGCUUAACCUGGGAACUGCGCUUGUAACUGGCAAGCUGGAGUGUGGCAGAGGGGGGUGGAAUUCCACGUGUAGCAGUGAAAUGCGUAGAGAUGUGGAGGAACACCGAUGGCGAAGGCAGCCCCCUGGGCUAACACUGACGCUCAUGCACGAAAGCGUGGGGAGCACACAGG